AACAAGGACUUCACCUCAUGUUCAAGUUGGCUUCCAUCCCUUUCUUUCUCGACCCAACGCCCUCCUAAACCCUACCACUCACUGUUUUCCCCUAAAAACCACCCUCCCACAAAGACCAAGCCCUCAAGCCCUCCUUCCGCCGCCUCCUCUCCGACCUCUCUGCCAUUCUCGAUACACCCACCACCCCUCCUCAACCUCAUUGCCGGCGUGUUCCUCGAUUGGAUGGUCCCCGUCACCAACUCUCUCGAGAUCUUUUCAUGGUGUCCUCCACACUCCGGCCCCUUCGCCAUGUUCAUUUAUAUUUAUAUUUGGAGCCAUUUGUCCCACCGCACCGCCGAAAGCCGAACAAAUUCCCCUUCCUGGACCUCCUCGGCAUCGCCAUUACUUGCUCUUUGCCACCUCUCCCGAUCACCGCAACUUAGUUAUUUUGUCCACAAGCAAGUCGUCCACUACGAUGAAAUCUGAUCGAUGUGAUAAAUUCCAGCUUAGCAGCUAUAUUUAGAAAUCAAUUUUAAAAAAUUAUUGAUAUCAGAGGGUGGCUCGGUGCAGAGUUUUUGAUCCAAUAGCCCCAGCGGGGUUUACCAGCUAGUGGCUCCGGCGAAGACAUCAGAAGCAAGAACGAAAGGGUUUAGGGUUUCUUGGGAUUAUGUACUUCUUUUGAAACCCUAGGUUGAGUAAUGUGGAAAGCUAGAGUGGGAGGAGUUGACCGUUGGUGAAGCUAGAGUGGGAGGAGUUGACCGUUGGUGAAGCUAGUAUGAGAUUGGGAGGAGUGAGGCGGGAGCUGCGAGUGAAAAGAAAUAAGAGUGGCCGAUGAAGGGCUCCAUCGAAGGACCAGGAUCUUCUUUCUGAGGAGCUAACUGCAUUGUUUCUAUACCCAAGUGUGCCAAGCUACAGAUUGUACCACAGAAGGGUUUGUCCAAGAAGGUUGCUGAUCAACUCAUCUCUCUGCUUCUUGAUCAGGUUCGUCAUCUUUAUCUAAAGAAAGAGGAGGUCACUAAAGGGGAUGUUGUCAAGUUUCUAACAGAGACAACUGCACCCAGGGAUCUCGCAAUUUGGACUUGACUGUGUUCAUUUUCUAGCGUUAGUUAUCAGGUUAAUUCUUAAACUAUCUUAAAUUUGGCGCAGAAUGGGUUUAGUGUGUUUUGUUCAAUCCUAGAUUAUUUUUGUUUCUGCAGUUUUUUUUCUAAUUUUUUUCAGUCUCUUAGAAUUCAUAGUUAAAUUACCUCUUGAAAUCAUACACCAGUAUAAAGUCAAAAGCUUCUGUAUCAUGUCAUGACAGGAUGGUGUACUAGCUAGUUAUCUUUAAUGCAUGGUGACAGGUAAUGUGUCACUUUAAAAUCUUACACCUGAUGAACAUUUUAUGUAACAUGUAUUUUAUCUGCAUUGCCUAUAAGGGUUAAAGGGAGUUAGUUGAGAUGGGAAAUUAAGCUUAAAAAUAGAAGAUAACAACUGUAUUGUUUUGCAGUUUCUUCUGAAAAAGACUGCCUCCACAACUUUGUUCUGGACCCACAGCAGAACAUUGUUAGCAAUUUUGAUGAAUGUUGCCAUUCAUGCUGAACAGCUAGAGGAUGGAUGAAGCCCAAACAUACUUUACUGAUCCAUUCUUAAUAUCAAUCGAAAGUGAGAUAUAUAGUUGUAGUAGCACAUUUUAAAGAAGUUUAAAAGAAAAUGUGGAGUUUUGAAUCUCUAGAAGGAUAGUACUUUGAUAUCAUAGAUUGAUGAUUCUGCAUUUGGGUUUUUUUUUAGUUGCUUACAGGUUCUAAGACAUUGCCUAUGCAACAGCCUUUAUCUCUUUUUUUUUUCAAUUUUCGAGUGCAAUUUAAUUAUGUUCAAGAACUGAUUUCAGGAUUCAUCAAGGGGCAAUCACUUUUAUGUGCUUUAUAUAAAUUCAAUGCUCCAUAGUGCAGCCCUUAUUUUUUGUGACACAUGGUGGUUAUUUGCCACCAUCUAAGAAUGAACAGGGGACCUCCUAUGGAGAGUAAGGUGCCAACCAGCUAACAGCUGUUAACUAUAAUGCAGAUAUUUUAAUACCAGAAAUUUUCAGUCACUGCAGCCUAAAUUGUGUUAUUUCUCCUUUCUUUCGGGGAAGUUUUAGGUUGUUGAUCUAAAAUUAUAGUUGUAGUUGUAAGCGCCGGAGAACGUCCGAGGGAUGUUGCAAAGGGGAAGGAAUUCUUCAGGGACUUAACUGUCUUGUGAUGAGUAAUAUUUAGCUAGAUCAUUUUUGUACAUUGUUGCUUCUUCUGGGUACUUUUUUCAUGUGAUUUUUAUAGUAGACAUUCUUUUUGUAAUCUUAGAUGCAAUAAAUCAGCACCUGACUGUACAAGGAAAUGUAGUUUAGAAUUUUGAUACAGAGAAAUAAUGUAAAUGAGGUGCAAGUUUGUUGUAUUCAAACCAGUAUUCUUAAAACUUUAGGGUGAUAGAUGAUAUAUUCUGCAUAAUAUUAGUGAUCCUGCUUUUAUA